CCUACGGGAGGCAGCAGUGGGGAAUAUUGCGCAAUGGGGGCAACCCUGACGCAGCCAUGCCGCGUGAAUGAAGAAGGCCUUCGGGUUGUAAAGUUCUUUCGGUAGCGAGGAAGGCAUUUAGUUUAAUAGACUAGGUGAUUGACGUUAACUACAGAAGAAGCACCGGCUAACUCCGUGCCAGCAGCCGCGGUAAUACGGAGGGUGCGAGCGUUAAUCGGAAUAACUGGGCGUAAAGGGCACGCAGGCGGUGACUUAAGUGAGGUGUGAAAGCCCCGGGCUUAACCUGGGAAUUGCAUUUCAUACUGGGUCGCUAGAGUACUUUAGGGAGGGGUAGAAUUCCACGUGUAGCGGUGAAAUGCGUAGAGAUGUGGAGGAAUACCGAAGGCGAAGGCAGCCCCUUGGGAAUGUACUGACGCUCAUGUGCGAAAGCGUGGGGAGCGAACAGGAUUAGAUACCCGAGUAGUC
rnacentral:rRNA from 1 species